rnacentral:rRNA from 1 species
AUUGAACGCUGGCGGCAUGCCUUACACAUGCAAGUCGAACGGUAACAGGUCUUCGGAUGCUGACGAGUGGCGAACGGGUGAGUAAUACAUCGGAACGUGCCUAGUAGUGGGGGAUAACUACUCGAAAGAGUGGCUAAUACCGCAUGAGAUCUACGGAUGAAAGCAGGGGAUCGCAAGACCUUGUGCUACUAGAGCGGCCGAUGGCAGAUUAGGUAGUUGGUGGGAUAAAAGCUUACCAAGCCGACGAUCUGUAGCUGGUCUGAGAGGACGAUCAGCCAGCCGGGGACUGAGACACUGCCCAGACUCCUACGUGGGACGGCAGGGGGGAAUUUUGGACAAUGGGCGCAAGCCUGAUCCAGCAAUGCCGCGUGCAGGAUGAAGGCCUUCGGGUUGUAAACUGCUUUUGUACGGAACGAAAAGCCCUGGGUUAAUACCCUGGGGUCAUGACGGUACCGUAAGAAUAAGCACCGGCUAACUACGUGCCAGCAGCCGCCGUAA